rnacentral:sRNA from 1 species
GAAGCCCCACCCCUUUGAGGAUUUAUAGAUGUUUCCAGAGCCAGACACCUUUCCCUGGUGAAGCUGCUUUGCCCGUUGAUCGAACGCCUGCCAUGGUUUCUGGCCACCCGUCCUCAGGAUGUCGGGCACACGUGUCUCCCUCAAGCUCUCUGCUGUAGAUGGAGUAGAACUGUGUUACACCAGAAAACAACAGGGACCUAUGGAAACAGAGGUAAGAGGAAUACAAAGAAGGAACGAAGAUGCCAGCAAAAUGGCUACAAACGUUGAGAUGAAUGUGCACCAAGGGACUGCAAAGGUAACAGAUCCCUCUGAAGGUGCCCUGGGCAUUUGCUCUGACUCAAUCAUGGAUAAGAACGUUUGGCCUGUCUCGAUGAUGGUAUUUAAUGCCUUGAAUUUCCCUGACUCAGUAACCCUUUGACGUAUGUGGAAAACAAGGCAAACAUGAAAUGAGGCAACAUUCCAGUUGUUCAGGAAGUGCCUGCCUUUGAAGAGAACCAGGAAGUCACACCCUCAACGCCCCUCAGUUUUUCAGGUACGAAAACAGACUUCUUGAAGGAAAAGGAGGACCAGGACUGCAGCAGGAGCAUCUUCUAAUGUCUGGGCUUCUGCUCUGUUCCUCAGUUGUGGUCACAGUCACUUGGGUGGCACUCGGUACCUGAAAAAUGCCGUUGUUACAAUGAAGUCAUCUCUGUAUCAAAUUUAGAUGAUAUAAACAUUGCUCUAAGGGUUUAAGAAGACACUUGGAUUUUUGCUUAAUUUUUUUUAUUUCACCUCUAGCAAUACAGGUAAAAUUCUUAACGGGUUAUUUUCAGAAUAACAUAUUUCUCUCUUAGCGUCUCACAGUGCAAAUGCAGAUGGUUCACUGUUUCUGGAGAUGGUGGAAAGAAACCUGGCUGCUAGGUUCUGCCUCUAGCUUUGUUAAGUCUCCCCUCCCCCCAUCGAUAACCUUGAGUUGUUGUGAGGAGACAUCUAGGAGAGGCUAAAGGCUAGCAGGUGACUUUCCUGAAAUGGUCCACCAAAUGCAUGGACGACAAUGGAAGAGCUCUGGGAGGCAAGGCUCGAGAAGACUUCAUCUCAGGAUUGAUUCUUGCACCUACUAUGCCUUUCCUAUCAUUGUUAAAUUAGUAUAAUAAUCCCUGGGCAUUAGCCCACCCAAUUGGGAAGAUUUUCUUCAGAUCCACAAAGAUGUACUCUUUUGUGCAUCUAUGUAGACAAAUAGAUGAUUUCUUCAUUCCUGAUAAUGAUUCUAUAGAAUUCCUAGAUUUUACACAUGUAAUUUUAUGCCCUCUGUAAUUUGAAAACCGCAGUUAGGAUUCUGUUAUCCUUCAUGUAUCACAGGCUGUUUACACUAAGGCAGGCACAAAAGGGAUUUACAAAUAAGGAAAACAUUCCUUUAGGCUGUAAAACCAUUAUCUGAUAACUAAAGGUCAUAAAAGGGGAUGAACAGUUUAUUCUAUGUGCAAGGACAGAAGAUAAAAUAGUAAAUGGAUUUAUCUACACAAAAUUUCAAUACUAGUGAGAUAGUAGGCAGAUGAUGGGCCUCUUGACCUAUAGUGUUAACUUAGACAUAAGAAUUAUAGCUUUUAACUUUUAAUGAACCUGUGGGGGCUAGUGAUAGAUAAUGAAUACUUAGAUAACUGUUCUUAAUGGAAACGUAUGUAAACAUCUUUGUUGUUUCUUCUUAUUUAAUGCAUGAUUUGAAUUUAUGUUUGAACUUGUGAACUUUUGAAAAAAGGAUGCCUGGAAUACCAUGUGAUGUAUCCUGAAAAAGUAUAAGUAUUGAGAACAAAGACAACAGUCAGACAGGUUUUGUUUUUCUUACAAUCAAGUUUUUCUUAAGAUCAAUACAAAGUUAGUUCCCCCAUUUCUUUCUCUUAGAAAUAAAGAUGAGAGUCUCUUCUCAAAGUCCUUGCUUCUUUCUGUGGCUUUCUCUAGCUGUCAAGGAGUCAGUGAACUCCCAGCUUCAGGGCUCCAGGCCUGGGAGGCCCAAGGGGACAAGAACCAAGAACUGCUUUACAAAAUCCCUGUUGUUGAACAAUUAAGUGUUAAUUGCUAGAGGUCUGAAACUUCUGGUCUCAGAAUAACUUAAGUGUCAAGACAGGUAAACGUUAUUUAAUUAUAAGCAAAUUUACUCUAGCAAAACCAAGUUUUGCCCCCUGUAACCACACCCACUGAUGCUGUACCCGCUCUGCUGCCUUCCAAAGAGAACCAGUGCUCUCAGAUAGGCUCCUGACAAGUUGUGAACUUUAGCAAUGCAUUCUACAGAUGAUUUACUCACAAGAAAUUUGGAGCAUUGCUGAAAUGUUUUUACACAUAAUACGUUUUGAGGAUAUAACUCCGGCUCACCUCUGUUGGGAUCUAAUGCAAACCCCAAGAACUGUGCUGGAAGCCUCUGUUUAUCUUGGCUCAUUGUUCUCCCCAAGUGCCUGAAGGCGCACAUUUUUACAACUACACAGGCAUAAUCCCAAGUUCUGAUUUUAAUAUAUUCCCAUUAUAUCUUUGUCUCUUCAAUCAAGUCCCCAAGUGGAACAAACCAAGAGCUCCCUUAAUUCUUCAUUUUGUUUGGAAGAUACUUUAUUAAAAAGACACAAAAUAUAUAAUGUAUAAAUGGUAUAAGCAGGAAAGACUAAUGAUUAAGACUCAAUCCUGUGUUCUAUCAGUGAGCUACUGGGCCCUGGGAAGUUUCCUGAGUUAAGGCCUUGAGCCUUAACUAUUUCAUCUAUGUAAUUGCCUUGGCUACUUCUUGGCACUUCUCUCUGUGCCUCACAGGCAGAUUCUAAAGCAAAAAAAAAAAAAAAGUGUUAAUGGUAAACACCCACAAUUCAAAAGCAGACACAAAUAUGUUCUUGUCUUAAUGUUUAUUAUUUCUGUUAUUUCUGAGAUUAUAUCACACCCCCUCCCUUUCCUCCCUCUGAACCCUCCAAUAUUUCCCUCCUGGCUCUCUUUCAAAUUCACAGAC